rnacentral:rRNA from 1 species
CAGCCGCCGCGGGAAUACGAAGGGGGCUAGCGUUGCUCGGAAUGACUGGACGUAAAGGGCGCGUAGGCGGCAUAUACAGUCAGGCGUGAAAUUCCCGGGCUUAACCUGGGGGCUGCGUUUGAUACGUAUGGGCUAGAGUGGGGAAGAGGGUCGUGGAAUUCCCAGUGUAGAGGUGAAAUUCGUAGAUAUUGGGAAGAACACCAGUGGCGAAGGCGGCUUACUGGCUCGAAACUGACGCUGAGGCGCGAAAGCGUGGGGAGCAAACAGGAUUAGAUACCCCUGUAGUCCCUGUCUCUUAUAC